UACAGAGGUGGCAAGCGUUGUUCGGAAUUACUGGGCGUAAAGGGCGCGUAGGCGGUUCGUUAAGUCCUGUGUGAAAUCCCCCGGCUCAACUGGGGAACUGCACAGGAAACUAGCGGGCUUGAGUCCGGGAGAGGGAAGCGGAAUUCCGGGUGUAGCGGUGAAAUGCGUAGAUAUCCGGAGGAACACCGGUGGCGAAGGCGGCUUCCUGGACCGACACUGACGCUGAGGCGCGAAAGCUAGGGGAGCAAACGGG
rnacentral:rRNA from 1 species